rnacentral:lncRNA from 1 species
UGGUUCGGUUGAACCCCGUCGAUCUCUAUCCCUCUCUUACUCUCUCUUGUGUUCCUCUUUACUACCACUUCUAGAAGCUUCCUCUACUUCUUCCAUCUCAAUUCCUCUUCUAUUUUUCUGAGAUUGUAUUUGAAUUUGAUUGUUCUUGAGAUUACUGAGUUGGAAGAAGAGGCUGUUAACAAUCUAGUAUCAGAGCCGUUCAGUUCACUGGGAUUUUUGUCAUGGAGGUGUUGGGGAGGCAGCCAUGCAAGAUGGAGCAAGAAUUGAGUUGGGAAGGUUUUCAUCCAAGCAGCGCCCACCAACUGCUCGAUGGAAUGCCAAGCCAACCUGGGAUGUCCAAGGAAGAUCAGAGGAUAUCUGAGCCCGUUCUCAUCAAUACCACCAUGAAUAAAGAGGAGAAAUGGCUAGAUGAAGCUUUGGAUCGGAUAUUGGAGAAGUUUGAACAAAUGGAGGCCAAGCGCCGGCAAGAGGACAAGCUCAAUCAAAUUUUUCAGAAGUUGGAGGAGAUAGAGGCUCGUAGGAGCAAGGCUUCCGAGGAGACGAUUGCUGCCAUCAGGGCAACCACCGCCAUUCUCAAGGCUGCAUCAUCUUCGACACCUAUGGCACCACCUCCUCCAGCGCCCACCAACUGUUUGAUGGAAUGCCACAACAACAACAUCACUUGGGUGGCAGUGAAUUCAAGUCACAUCCGCGAGGUACUUGCCCCGAUGGUUGCCUUCGAGCUUGGGGACGUCGAGGACAAGGAUCCUGUCCCCUACAUUGCCGCCAAGGACCUUCCCAAGGUCACGCCCACCAAGUGUUCGACGAUAUGUUCCAGCUCCGACACCAAGCCCGAUCACACUGUGGCUACUGUGGUUACUUGCGCCACCCUUGCCAUGUCAUCAAUGGAGUUGGUAGCUAUUGACGGCACCACUGGCAGCACCAACAUUGACACCCCUGAUAGUACCAAGGCGAUGCCCGCCAACUGUUCGACAGUUGGCCUUGAUGUUAAGGGUGGUGCAGACCACGCCAGGGUCACAUGCCAGAUCAUGAUGGGUGUGCCUGAGGGUGUUGUAUUACCUGAUGCAUCAUCCGAAGUCUUGUCGCCAUGGUUGAUCGCUGAAAUGGACCUUGCCAAGCUGAUGCCCACUGAGUGUUUGAUGAAAUGCCUCAAAGCUAUCAAGAAGUUUCUGGUGGGGCAUCCCAAGAGAGAUCCUUGGCCACCUCCCUGGUCAGCCUAUGGUUGGUCCAGAAUUCAAACUCAAUUGGGCAAGGGUACAUCAUUUGCCACCUUGGUCGCCACCUACCGAAUAUCUAGCCUGCAGGAGCAUAUUAAUGGGCAAGAACAAAUCUUAUGCAAACCUUGGAAUCCAAGAGACAACAGGACCUCAAUUGACAUAAUUCUGUUGAAUAGUUGGUCUCUAGUGCACUACUAUCAUCUGGGGCAUAUUGUUGGCCUUACAUGUCUUGAAGCUUUGGCCAUUCUAGUUUGCCAUGAGAUGGUUAAGUUUGGGUGGGCUGGUACUGUGUACAGUGACCAAGACAGGCAUACAGUUGUCAGGCCAGCAAGAGCAUUUGUCAAGCAUGAGCUUGGCAUCGGGAAUGGUUCACAUAUACUACAUGUUUCAGAGGCUGGAGCAAGAUGUGGGUCCAUGAGGAAAUUGCUUGAACUGAUAAGGAAUGAGAGGACUUUCCAAAUUAAAAUUAUGGUGAAGAACUUAUUGCAAGAGCUUCUACUCAAGUACUUGAUGCACAUGCACUGA